rnacentral:sRNA from 1 species
UUUCUUUGUCUAAAUAUCAUUGGGAUAUCCUACUAUAUUAUUUGGGAAGUACAUUUUAAAUAUAACCUUUGUAAGUAAUUACAUAAGUAUGCCAUUAGAAAUAAAAUUUAAAGAGUAAAUUAAUUCAUCUCUUUAAAAAUUUA